GAUCAAGCUAAUAAGAGCAUAUGGUGGAUGCCUUGGCACCAGGAGCCGAAGAAGGACGUGAUAAGCUGCGAUAAGCUGUGGUUAGCCGCAAAUAGGCCUUGACCCACAGAUUUCCGAAUGGGGAAACCCACCAGAAGUAAUGUUCUGGUAUCAUAACAUGAAUAAAUAGUGUUAUGAGGGGAGACCGGGGGAACUGAAACAUCUAAGUACCCCGAGGAGUAGAAAGAAACAUCGAUUUCCUAAGUAGCGGCGAGCGAAAGGGAAUUAGCCCAAACCAGCGAGGGUAACUUUGCUGGGGUUGCGGACCGGCAUUUAAUAUCAGAGCUUUAGCCGAACAGAUCUGGAAAGAUCGAUCGCAGAAGGUAAAAAUCCUGUAGGCGAAAAGGCGAAGAUAUGAGCCGGGAUCCAGAGUACCACGAGACACGUGAAACCUUGUGGGAAGCAGGGAGGCCCACCUCCCAAGGCUAAAUACUACCUGGUGACCGAUAGCGCAUAGUACCGUGAGGGAAAGGUGAAAAGAACCCCGGGAGGGGAGUGAAAUAGAACCUGAAACCGUAUGCUUACAAUCGGUGGGAGCCCUAUGUCUUUGACAGGGUGACCGCGUACUUUUUGUAGAACGGACCAGCGAGUUACGUUAGUCAGCGAGGUUAAGCACUUAAGGUGCGGAGCCGAAGCGAAAGCGAGUCUUAAUAGGGCGCGAAGUUGGCUGAUGUAGACCCGAAACCGGGUGACCUAUCCAUGGACAGGGUGAAGCGGAAGUAAAAUUUCGUGGAGGCCCGAACCCACCGUUGUUGAAAAAACGGGGGAUGAGCUGUGGAUAGCGGAGAAAUUCCAAUCGAACUCGGAGAUAGCUGGUUCUCCCCGAAAUAGCUUUAGGGCUAGCCUCAGUAGAGAGUACCGGAGGUAGAGCACUGAAUGGGCUAGGGGCCUUAUCGGUUACCGAACCCUAUCAAACUCCGAAUGCCGGAUACUUGAUUACUGGGAGUCAGACUACGGGUGAUAAGAUUCGUGGUCAAAAGGGAAAGAGCCCAGACCAUCAGCUAAGGUCCCCAAGUAUAGACUAAGUGGUAAAGGAUGUGUGACUACACAGACAACCAGGAUGUUGGCUUAGAAGCAGCCACUCAUUCAAAGAGUGCGUAAUAGCUCACUGGUCAAGUGGUCAUGCGCCGAAAAUUACCGGGGCUAAAGUCUAACACCGAAGCUAUGGAUUUUCAGAAGUCAGAAGCCAGAGGUCAGAGGCCAGAAAGGGAAGUAGGAGGUAUAGUAUGAUAAAAAGCUAUAAAGACCUAGAGAUAUAUCAAAAGGCAUAUAAGCUAGGACUAAAGGCACAUACAAUUACACUAAAAUAUCCUGAGUAUGAGCGGUAUGAACUAGGCAGUCAAAUCAGAAGAGCAGCCUUAUCGAUACCAUUAACAAUAGCAGAAGGAUAUGGAAAGAAAGGAUCUGAAGCCGAAUUCAAGAGAUUCUUAAAUAUGGCAUUAGGUUCGAGUAACGAAAUGGAAGUGCUGUUGGACAUGAGUAAAGAUAUGGGAUAUGUAGAUGAAGGAACCCAUAAAGAAUUAGUGGAGGAGUAUAUAGUUUUAAGGAAACAGAUAUACACACUAAUGAGCAAAUGGAAAAAAUCCGACAUCUGACAGCUGGCUUCUGACUUCUGAGAGUGGUAGGGGAGCGUCGUAUAUGGGCAGAAGCUAUACCGAAAGGAGUAGUGGACUAUAUACGAGAGAGAAUGCUGGUAUAAGUAGCGAGAGUGAAGUGAGAAUCUUCACCAUCGAAAAUCUAAGGUUUCCUGAGGAAGGUUCGUCCGCUCAGGGUAAGUCGGGACCUAAGGAGAGGCGUAUAGCGUAUCCGAUGGACAAUCGGUUGAUAUUCCGAUACCACCAAGUAUCGAUUGAAGGAAGCAGUGACACAGGAGGAUAGGACGUGCACGGAGUUGGUUUUCCGUGUCCAAGCACUGAGGCUGAUGUGUAGGAAAGACCGCACAUCGAUAAGGCAGGGGUGUGAUGGGGAUCGAAAUUAGAGUAGAGAAGAGUCUGAUUUCACACUGUCAAGAAAAGCUGCUAACGAGAUACCGGGUGCCCGUACCGCAAACCGACACAGGUAGAUGAGGAGAGAAUCCUAAGAUGAGCGAGAGAAGCGUUGUUAAGGAACUCGGCAAAAUAACCCCGUAACUUCGGGAGAAGGGGUGCCACAGAAAUGUGGCCGCAGUGAAAAGGCCCAAGCGACUGUUUAGCAAAAACACAGGUCUCUGCUAAAUCGAAAGAUGACGUAUAGGGGCUGACGCCUGCCCGGUGCUGGAAGGUUAAGGGGAAAGGUAAGCGCAAGCGAAGCUUUGAACUUAAGCCCCAGUAAACGGCGGCCGUAACUAUAACGGUCCUAAGGUAGCGAAAUUCCUUGUCAGGUAAGUUCUGACCCGCACGAAUGGCGUAACGACUUGGGCACUGUCUCGACAACGCGCUCGGCGAAAUUGUAGUACUAGUGAAGAUGCUAGUUACCCGCGAUUGGACGGAAAGACCCCGUAGAGCUUCACUGUAGCUUGACAUUGGGUUUUAGUAUUUCAUGUACAGGAUAGGUGGGAGACAGAGAAGGUAGGACGCUAGUCUUAUUGGAGUCGACGUUGGGAUACCACUCUUGAGAUACCGGAAUUCUAACCAGUGGCCAUAAGCUGGUCAUGGGACAUAGUCAGGUGGGCAGUUUGACUGGGGCGGUCGCCUCCUAAAGAGUAACGGAGGCGUUCAAAGGUUCCCUCAGAAUGGUUGGAAAUCAUUCGAAGAGUGCAAAGGCAGAAGGGAGCCUGACUGCGAGACAUACAAGUCGAGCAGGUACGAAAGUAGGACUUAGUGAUCCGGUGGUACCGAGUGGAAGGGCCAUCGCUCAACGGAUAAAAGCUACCUCGGGGAUAACAGGCUUAUCUCCCCCAAGAGUCCACAUCGACGGGGAGGUUUGGCACCUCGAUGUCGGCUCGUCGCAUCCUGGGGCUGUAGUAGGUCCCAAGGGUUGGGCUGUUCGCCCAUUAAAGCGGCACGCGAGCUGGGUUCAGAACGUCGUGAGACAGUUCGGUCCCUAUCCGUCGCGGGCGCAGGAAAUUUGAGGAGAUCUGUCCUUAGUACGAGAGGACCGGGAUGGACGAACCGCUGGUGUAUCAGUUGUCCUGCCAAGGGCAUGGCUGAGUAGCUAAGUUCGGAACGGAUAAGCGCUGAAGGCAUCUAAGCGCGAAACCGACUCCAAGAUAAGAUUUCCCACAGCGUAGGCUGGUAAGACCCCAUGUAGACUACAUGGUUGAUAGGUCGGAGGUGUAAGCGUGGCAACACGUUCAGCUGACCGAUACUAAUAGGUCGAGGGCUUGAUCUA
rnacentral:rRNA from 1 species